UUAAAUUGAAGAGUUUGAUCAUGGCUCAGAUUGAACGCUGGCGGCAGGCCUAACACAUGCAAGUCGAGCGGAAACGAGUUAUCUGAACCUUCGGGGAACGAUAACGGCGUCGAG
rnacentral:rRNA from 1 species